rnacentral:tRNA from 1 species
GCGUGGUUAAUUUAGUGGUAGAAUAGGACGUUGCCAACGUUCAUACGCGGGUUCGAUUCCCGCAUCACGCA